AUUGAACGCUGGCGGCAGGCUUAACACAUGCAAGUCGAACGGUAGCACAGAGAGCUUGCUCUCGGGUGACGAGUGGCGGACGGGUGAGUAAUGUCUGGGAAACUGCCCGAUGGAGGGGGAUAACUACUGGAAACGGUAGCUAAUACCGCAUAACGUCGCAAGACCAAAGUGGGGGACCUUCGGGCCUCACACCAUCGGAUGUGCCCAGAUGGGAUUAGCUAGUAGGUGGGGUAAUGGCUCACCUAGGCGACGAUCCCUAGCUGGUCUGAGAGGAUGACCAGCCACACUGGAACUGAGACACGGUCCAGACUCCUACGGGAGGCAGCAGUGGGGAAUGUCGCACAAUGGGCGCAAGCCUGAUGCAGCCAUGCCGCGUGUAUGAAGAAGGCCUUCGGGUUGUAAAGUACUUUCAGCGGGGAGGAAGGCGGUGAAGUUAAUAACUUCACCGAUUGACGUUACCCGCAGAAGAAGCACCGGCUAACUCCGUGCCAGCCGCCGCGGUAA
rnacentral:rRNA from 1 species